GAGUUGAUCAUGGCUCAGGAUGAACGCUGGCGGUAUGCUUAACACAUGCAAGUCGAACGGUUAGUAAAAUAAAUAGUGGCGUACGGGUGAGUAAUACGUGAGAAUAUACCUUUGGGAAUGGAUAACUAAGGGAAACUUUGGCUAAUACCAAAUACGCUAUUUGUAGAUCGAUAGUUAAAUAAUUUUGCCCUUAGAUUAGCUUACGUCUGAUUAGUUAGUUGGUGUGGUAAUGGCUCACCAGGCGAUGAUCAGUAGCUGGUUUGAGAGGACGAUCAGCCACAGUUGAAUUGAAAUACGGAAACACUUCUACGGAAGGCAGCAGUGGGGAAUUUUUCGCAAUGAGCGCAAGCUUGACGAGCAAUACCGCGUGAAGGAUGAAGGUCUAUGGAUUGUAAACUUCUUUUGUCAGAGAAGAAUUAAUGACGGUAUCUGAAGAAUAAGUAUCGGCUAAUUCCGUGCCAGCAGCCGCGGUAAU
rnacentral:rRNA from 1 species